rnacentral:rRNA from 1 species
AAGUAGCAGCGAGUAGCAUAGUCGAUUGGCAGAACGCGUAACCGCUAGCAUGGAGGCAGUGUGGGUCAACUGCCUAGGGGCUGNUUAGCAGUGNGGAUAUUGCAUCAAGUGACAUAGCGGUCUGAUACCAGCMRUUAGNNNNSGGGAAUGUAGUCCAAAAGAAUUGAAGUUCGAGAUAAGAAAGAAUAAUGCCAAUUUUUAUCUUAAUGUCUUGGCCAAAUUACGUGCCAGCAGUCGCGGUCAUACGUAGAAGACUAGUGCUAUUCAUGUUUAUUGGGUUUAAAGGGUACCUAGACGGAUAAUCAAGCUAGUACUGUUACUAGGACUAGUUAUCUAGAGUUUUAUGGAUGAGUGUUGAAUUUCUGGAUGAGAGUCAAAAUUCUUUGAUACCGGUGAAACAGACAACGGUGAAGGCGACAUUCUAUGUAACAACUGACGUUGAGGGACGAAGCCUUGGGGAGCGAGAAGGAUUAGAUACCCUAGUAGUCCAGGGAGAAAAUUAUAAGUGCCAUAGACUAGCGAAAGUUAGUUUAUAAAUGAAAGUGUAAGCAUUUCRCCUCAKGAGUAAAGCGGCAACGCCRAAAUUGAAAYCAUUAGACCGUAUCUGAAACCAGUAGUGAWGUAUGUUAUUUAAUUCKAUAAUCCGCGAAWAACCUURCCACGUUUUGAAUAUUAAYGAUGAAUUUUCUAGUAAGUAAAUUUUYUAUUUUUACCAGCGCUGCACGGACUGUCUUCAGUUUAUGUUCGUGAGAUUUUGGUUAAUUCCUUUAAUUAMCGAAAGCCCUUGUUUUAUUUUUUUAUAGAAUACUUCGCCGUUAUASUGGYAUAGAAUAAUAAGGACGAACACAAGUCAGCGUGGUCUUAAUAAAGCUAGGUAAUAGACGGGGCCCCAUAUAUNUGGCCUAAAUAACAUGAGCUAUAAUACGUUGCCACAUAAGUCAUCCUGAGCUAUAUAAGGGACAUAUUAAGGUCGUGCCAGGAUAUUUGUUCAUGGGGCUAUAGACGUGCGACAAUAUAC